rnacentral:rRNA from 1 species
GUUUAACGCUGGCGGCGUGCAUAACACAUGCAAGUCGAACGAAGUGGCGGACGGGUGAGUAACGCGCGAGUAACCUGCCUUAGAGAAGGGGAAAGCCUUUGGAAACGAAGAAUAAUACCCUAUGCCCUAAGAUGGACUUGCGUUUGAUUAGUUAGUUGGUGGGGUAACGGCCCACCAAGACAGCGAUCAGUAGCCGGCUUGAGAGAGUGUCCGGCCACAUUGGGACUGGUACACGGCCCAGACUCUACGGGAGGCAGCAGUGGGGAAUUUUGCACAAUGGGGGAAACCCUUAUGCAGCGACGCCGCGUGAUUUAGAAGGCCUUCGGGUUGUAAAUAUCUUUUCUAUGGGAAGCGGUACCAUAGGAAUAAGGACCGGCUAAUUACGUGCCAGCAGCCGCGGUAAUUC